AACGAACGCUGGCGGCGUGCCUAACACAUGCAAGUCGAACGGGAAAACCCGCAAGGGUGAGUACAGUGGCGCACGGGUGCGUAACACGUGGGUAAUCUGCCCAGAAGCCCGGAAUAACUCCCCGAAAGGGGUGCUAAUGCCGGAUGAGACCACGGGGACUUCGGUUCCUGGGGGAAAAGGUGGCCUCUGUAUACAAGCUAUCACUUCUGGAUGAGCCCGCGGCCCAUCAGCUAGUUGGCGGGGUAAUGGCCCACCAAGGCUACGACGGGUAGCUGGUCUGAGAGGACGAUCAGCCACACUGGAACUGAGACACGGUCCAGACUCCUACGGGAGGCAGCAGUGGGGAAUCUUGCGCAAUGGGCGAAAGCCUGACGCAGCAACGCCGCGUGUGUGAUGAAGGUCUUCGGAUCGUAAAGCACUGUCGGGAGGGACGAAUAAGGGCCGGGUGAACAAUCCGGUUCGACGACGGUACCUCCAGAGGAAGCACCGGCUAACUCUGUGCCAGCAGCCGCAGUAAGAC
rnacentral:rRNA from 1 species